AGACCCGAAACCCGGUGAUCUAGCCAUGGGCAGGUUGAAGGUUGGGUAACACUAACUGGAGGACCGAACCGACUAAUGUUGAAAAAUUAGCGGAUGACCUGUGGCUGGGGGUGAAAGGCCAAUCAAACCGGGAGAUAGCUGGUUCUCCCCGAAAGCUAUUUAGGUAGCGCCUCGUGAAUUCAUCUCCGGGGGUAGAGCACUGUUUCGGCUAGGGGGCCAUCCCGGCUUACCAACCCGAUGCAAACUGCGAAUACCGGAGAAUGUUAUCACGGGAGACACACGGCGGGUGCUAACGUCCGUCGUGAAGAGGGAAACAACCCAGACCGCCAGCUAAGGUCCCAAAGUCAUGGUUAAGUGGGAAACGAUGUGGGAAGGCCCAGACAGCCAGGAUGUUGGCUUAGAAGCAGCCAUCAUUUAAAGAAAGCGUAAUAGCUCACUGGUCGAGUCGGCCUGCGCGGAAGAUGUAACGGGGCUAAACCAUGCACCGAAGCUGCGGCAGCGACACUGUGUGUUGUUGGGUAGGGGAGCGUUCUGUAAGCCUGUGAAGGUGUGUCGUGAGGCAUGCUGGAGGUAUCAGAAGUGCGAAUGCUGACAUAAGUAACGAUAAAGCGGGUGAAAAGCCCGCUCGCCGGAAGACCAAGGGUUCCUGUCCAACGUUAAUCGGGGCAGGGUGAGUCGACCCCUAAGGCGAGGCCGAAAGGCGUAGUCGAUGGGAAACGGGUUAAUAUUCCCGUACUUGGUGUUACUGCGAAGGGGGGACGGAGAAGGCUAUGUUGGCCGGGCGACGGUUGUCCCGGUUUAAGCGUGUAGGUGUGUGUUCCAGGUAAAUCCGGUUCACUUUAACACUGAGGCGUGACGACGAGGCACUACGGUGCUGAAGCAACAAAUGCCCUGCUUCCAGGAAAAGCCUCUAAGCAUCAGGUAACAUCAAAUCGUACCCCAAACCGACACAGGUGGUCAGGUAGAGAAUACCAAGGCGCUUGAGAGAACUCGGGUGAAGGAACUAGGCAAAAUGGUGCCGUAACUUCGGGAGAAGGCACGCUGACACGUAGGUGAAGUGAUUUACUCAUGGAGCUGAAGUCAGUCGAAGAUACCAGCUGGCUGCAACUGUUUAUUAAAAACACAGCACUGUGCAAACACGAAAGUGGACGUAUACGGUGUGACGCCUGCCCGGUGCCGGAAGGUUAAUUGAUGGGGUCAGCGCAAGCGAAGCUCCUGAUCGAAGCCCCGGUAAACGGCGGCCGUAACUAUAACGGUCCUAAGGUAGCGAAAUUCCUUGUCGGGUAAGUUCCGACCUGCACGAAUGGCGUAAUGAUGGCCAGGCUGUCUCCACCCGAGACUCAGUGAAAUUGAACUCGCUGUGAAGAUGCAGUGUACCCGCGGCAAGACGGAAAGACCCCGUGAACCUUUACUAUAGCUUGACACUGAACAUUGAGCCUUGAUGUGUAGGAUAGGUGGGAGGCUUUGAAGUGUGGA
rnacentral:rRNA from 2 species